rnacentral:rRNA from 1 species
CCUACGGGUGGCAGCAGUGAGGAAUAUUGGUCAAUGGGCGCGAGCCUGAACCAGCCAAGUCGCGUGAAGGAUGACUGCCCUCCGGGUUGUAAACUUCUUUUAUGAAGGAAUAAAGUGAGGCACGUGUGCCUUUUUGUAUGUACUUUAUGAAUAAGGAUCGGAUAACUCCGUGCCAGCAGCCGCGGUACUACGGUGGAUACGAGGGUUACCUGGAUUUAUUGGGUUUAAAGGGAACGUAGAUGGGUUGUUAAGUCAGUUGUGAAAGUUUGUGGCUCAACCGUAAAAUUGCAAUUGAUACUGGCAGGCUUGAGUACAGUUGAGGUAGGCGGAAUUCGUGGUGUAGCGGUGAAAUGCUUAGAGAUCACGAAGAACACCGAUGGCGAAGGCAGCCUACUAAACUGCCACUGACAUUGAGGCGCGAAAGUGUGGGGAGCAAACAGGAUUAGAUACCCUUGUAGUC